rnacentral:rRNA from 1 species
AUUGAACGCUGGCGGCAUGCUUUACACAUGCAAGUCGAACGGCAGCGAUAGAGAAGCUUGCUUCUCUUGUCGGCGAGUGGCGAACGGGUGAGUAAUACAUCGGAACGUACCCUGUAGUGGGGGAUAAGUACUAGAAAGAGUAGCUAAUACCGAAUACCACCUGAGGGUAAAAGCGGGGGACCGCAAGGUCGCAAGGUAUAGGAGCGGCCGGGGGAAGAUUAGCUAGUUGGUAGGGUAAAGGCCUACCAAGGCGACGUCCUUUAGCGGGUCUGAGAGGACGAUCCGCCACACGGGGACUGAGACACGGCCCAGACUCCUACGGGAGGCAGCAUUGGGGAAUUUUGGACAAUGGGCGAAAGCCUGAUCCAGCAAUGCCGCGUGAGUGAAGAAGGCCUUCGGGUUGUAAAGCUCUUUUGUUUGGGAAGAAAUCCUAACGGAUAAUACCUGUUGGGGAUGACGGUACCAAAAGAAUAAGCACCGGCUAACUACGUGCCAGCCGCCGCGGUAAGAC